rnacentral:rRNA from 1 species
ACAGCAGCCGCCGGCGGUAAUACGUAGGUGGCAAGCGUUGUCCGGAAUUAUUGGGCGUAAAGGGCUCGCAGGCGGUUUCUUAAGUCUGAUGUGAAAGCCCCCGGCUCAACCGGGGAGGGUCAUUGGAAACUGGGAAACUUGAGUGCAGAAGAGGAGAGUGGAAUUCCACGUGUAGCGGUGAAAUGCGUAGAGAUGUGGAGGAACACCAGUGGCGAAGGCGACUCUCUGGUCUGUAACUGACGCUGAGGAGCGAAAGCGUGGGGAGCGAACAGGAUUAGAUACCCCUGUAGUCCCUGUCUCUUAUA